AUUGAACGCUGGCGGCAGGCCUAACACAUGCAAGUCGAACGAGGGGCGGGCGGGUGAGUAAUUUCUAGGAAACUGCUCGUUGGAGGGGGAUAACUCCAGGAUACGAUAGCUAAUACCGCAUACCAUCGGAUGUGCCCAGAUGGGAGUAGCGUGGAGGGGAGGUAACAGCUCACCAAGGCGAAGAUCACUAGCUGGUGUGAGAGGAUGACCAGCCACACUGGAACGUAGACACGGUCCAGACUCCUACGGGAGGCCGCAGGGGGGAAUAUUGCACAAUGGGCGCAAGCCUGAUGCAGCCAUGCCGCGUGUAUGAAGAAGGUCGUGGGGUUGUAAAGGACUUUCAGCGGGGAGGCGUUACCCGCAGAAGAAGCACCGGCUAACUCCGUGCCAGCAGCCGCGGUAAUAC
rnacentral:rRNA from 1 species